UGAGUGUGUGAUCUGUUGAGUGUGUGUUCUGUUGAGUGUGUGUUUGGUGGUGUGUUCUGUUGGAGUGUGUGUGUUCUGGUGUUGUGUGUGUUUGUUCUGGUGUGUGUGUGUUGUGUUCUGGUGUGUGUGUGUGUGUGUGUGUUGGUUGUGUGUGUGUUGUUCUGGUUUUGUGUGUGUGUUUCUGGUUGUGUGUGUGUUCUGGUUGUUGUCUGGUAGAAUCGUUGUGUUGAAUAAAGGUUCUUAUGGUCUGGUUAGUGUUAUUAUGGUCUGGUUAGUGUUAUUAUGGUCUGGUUAGUGUUGUUAUGGUAAUAUCCUUCCGCCGUUAGGUU
rnacentral:lncRNA from 1 species